UACGUAGGCAGCAAGCGUUGUUCGGAGUUACUGGGCGUAAAGAGUGCGUAGGUGGUGCCCUAAGUCUGUUGUGAAAUCUCCCGGCUUAACUGGGAGGGUGCGGUGGAAACUGGGGUGCUUGAGUGUGGGAGAGGUAAGCGGAAUUCCUGGUGUAGCGGUGAAAUGCGUAGAUAUCAGGAGGAACACCGGUGGUGUAGACGGCUUACUGGACCUCGACUGACACUGAGGCACGAAAGCGUGGGUAGCAAACAGG
rnacentral:rRNA from 1 species